ACGUUAGCGGCGGACGGGUGAGUAACACGUGGGUAACCUACCUAUAAGACUGGGAUAACUUCGGGAAACCGGAGCUAAUACCGGAUAAUAUUUCGAACCGCAUGGUUCUAUAGUGAAAGGUGGUUUUGCUAUCACUUAUAGAUGGACCUGCGCCGUAUUAGCUAGUUGGUAAGGUAACGGCUUACCAAGGCGACGAUACGUAGCCGACCUGAGAGGGUGAUCGGCCACACUGGGACUGAGACACGGUCCAGACUCCUACGGGAGGCAGCAGGC
rnacentral:rRNA from 1 species